rnacentral:sRNA from 1 species
AAAAGAUUAUUCUUUUUAACCUAACCGCUACCGCCCGCAACCGCAAACGCUUGCGGAAAGGAGCUUUUGAAAACUGGCGAUUUCGAGCGGUUUAAAGCGAUAUCUAGCGGUUUUUAUGAUUGGUGUCAAUCGCUAACAACCGCUACCAACCGCAAACGCAGCGUUUGCGGGUGGUAGAGGGAGAACCAAUCAAGUCCUUAGUCCCUCAAUCGUCGUCGCUCAAAAUUACUGGUUUGACAACAGAUGGUUGGUUGUUAGAGCCUUUAGACGAAUGGAAUCCAAUUGCAAGGGUACAUCUGUUAAUUGGGAUCAAACUGU